UACGUAGGGUGCGAGCGUUGUCCGGAUUUAUUGGGCGUAAAGCGCACGCAGGCGGUCUGCUAAGUUUGGAGUGACAGUUGGUGGCUUAACUGCCAAAGUGCUUCGAAAACUGACAGACUUGAGGGCUUCAGAGGGACACGGAAUCCGGGUGGAGUGGUGAAAUGCGUAGAGAUCCGGAGGAACACCAAAGGCGAAGGCAGUGUCCUGGGGGGUACCUGACGCUCAGGUGCGAAAGCCAGGGGAGCGAACGGG
rnacentral:rRNA from 1 species